UGCUGGGGGUGCUGGGGGGUGCCGGGGUCCCAGCCCCGCGCCCCCCGCAGCUCCCUGGCGCCCGGAGCACUCGUGCCUGGCCGGGGCGCGGACUCCGACCUUGCCCCGCGCUCGCCGGCUGGCCGCGGGCCCAGCGCCCAGCAGCGAAGCUCUGCAGAUCAGUGCUCCCACGAGAUAAGACGGGGUCUGCUCCCUGCUCCUCGCCGGCAGGAAAAUCAGCGAUGCCUUAAACCAGCCGGUCCUGGCGAGCACACGGUACAAUGAUCUCAGCAGCUAUUUAAUCUUGUCUUUCUCGCCAGCAGCCCUGGUAGAGGGUGGAGGGCGCCGCCUGCCCUGUAAACUGUGAAAAGGGCCUCCCCCAGGCUCUUCUUGCUCCUGCACAUGCAUCUUCCUCCCCCAGCUGCCCGUCCCGCUGCUUGCAGGAUGGCUCUGGCCAUGGCUGCGCCGGCAGGCGCUGCAGGAUGCAACGCCACGGGAGCCGUGCAGAGCCCCGACGGCUGUCCUGCUCCCGGUGUCACCGGUGCCAUGUCCUGGGCUCGGUGCACCCAGUGCUGCCGGGAAGGGGAACCGGUGGCCAGGGAAGGUGCAGGAUGUCACUCCACUGCUGCUCGACCCCACUGUUUCCCCACCGCCCUGGGGAGAGGAAAUGGCCCCAGAUUCGGGACAGCGAGCCCAUUGUGGAGCCCCACUGAAGCCCUCGGAGCUGCCCCGCUCCGGGGGCUCUUUCUCCGAGCGCCGCCGGGGGCACCAGCCCUCUGCACUGCAGUGACCGCUCUGCCCAAAGUAAACAUGGAAAAAAGCUCUAUUGCUGCCCUGGCUCCUGCUGGCG
rnacentral:lncRNA from 1 species